GACGAACGCUGGCGGCGUGCUUAACACAUGCAAGUCGAACGAUGAAGCUAGAGCUUGCUCUGGUGAAUUAGUGGCGAACGGGUGAGUAACACGUGAGUAACCUGCCCCGAACUCUGGGAUAACUGCUGGAAACGGUAGCUAAUACUGGAUACGACCUACGAAGGCAUCUUCUGUAGGUGGAAAGAAUUUCGGUUCGGGAUGGACUCGCGGCCUAUCAGCUUGUUGGUGAGGUAAUGGCUCACCAAGGCGACGACGGGUAGCCGGCCUGAGAGGGUGACCGGCCACACUGGGACUGAGACACGGCCCAGACUCCUACGGGAGGCAGCAGUGGGGAAUAUUGCACAAUGGGCGCAAGCCUGAUGCAGCAACGCCGCGUGAGGGAUGACGGCCUUCGGGUUGUAAACCUCUUUUAGUAGGGAAGAAGCGAAAGUGACGGUACCUGCAGAAAAAGCACCGGCUAACUACGUGCCAGCCGCCGCAGUAA
rnacentral:rRNA from 1 species